UACGUAGGGGGCAAGGCGUUGUCCGGAUUUAUUGGGCGUAAAGAGCGUGUAGGCGGCCAGGUAGGUCAGCUGUGAAAACUCGAGGCUCAACCUCGAGACGUCGGUUGAAACCAUCUGGCUAGAGUCCGGAAGAGGAGAGUGGAAGUUCCUGGUGUAGCGGUGAAAUGCGCAGAUAUCAGGAAGAACACCCGUGGCGAAGGCGGCUCUCUGGGACGGUACUGACGCUGAGACGCGAAAGCGUGGGGAGCGAACAGG
rnacentral:rRNA from 1 species